AGUGAACGCUGGCGGCAGGCCUAACACAUGCAAGUCGAACGGCAGCACAGUGGAGCUUGCUCCAUGGUGGCGAGUGGCGGACGGGGUGAGGAAUACAUCGGAAUCUGCCCAGUCGUGGGGGAUAACAUAGGGAAACUUAUGCUAAUACCGCAUACGACCUACGGUGAAAGCGGGGGAUCGCAAGACCUCGCGCGAUUGGAUGAGCCGAUGUCCGAUUAGCUAGUUGCGGGGUAAUGGCCCACCAAGGCGACGAUCGGUAGCUGGUCUGAGAGGAUGAUCAGCACACUGGAACUGAGACACGGUCCAGACUCCUAC
rnacentral:rRNA from 1 species